GCGUUUGCCAAGGGGUGCCGUUACCGGCUGAGAUCCACUGCGUGGGAACCCUUAAACCUGAUCCGGAUAAUACCGGCGUAGGGAUGGUUACAAUCAAGCCU
rnacentral:ncRNA from 2 species